UAAGAAAAUAGUGUUUUUAGAAAUACUACUUAUAUUUAAUUUAAUAAGGUGCUUUUCUUGCGGAGCUUUAAAUAAGUUUAUGCAGUUUUUUCGCCUUUUAGAUUUAUCUAUAAUGGGCGUAUUAAUAGUACUCUACACCAGUGCGGAGCAUUGAUUUAAUAUAGAAAUAUAGAAUAAGUAAUAGGGAAAGAGGGCGGAUAAAUAAAGUGCCAGCAUUCGCGGUCAGUCUUUUUGUCCCCAAUCAAUGAGUUUCAUAUAUAAGUAAUAGUGAAAAAAAAGUUUUAUCUAGAUUAGAAACGGUAAAAUGUAGCUGGUGUUAAAUAGUUAACCGAGAGGUUUUUGGUUGACUGAGUGAGUGGUAAAAGUAAGAUAGUUUUGAAGAUUAAACCUCAUAAGGCUGUUGAUAGAGACCGGGAUUUGUACCCCAGUAUUAAUGCUCUCUUUAGGUGUGUGGGUACUACGAGCAAAGCGCUUAAAAACCAAAGAGGUUGGCGGUGUUCCAAAUCUGGUUAGGGGAACUUGGCGAUUAAAUCGAUGAGCCUCGAAUAUUUUACCUUUAGUAUUCUUUACAUACCGCCGUUGAGGAAAGCUUUAGGGGGUUGAUGAACUUUAACGUAAUAAUAUAAACUAAGUAAAUCAGUCAAUGAGUUUAUAAGGCUUAGUUCUAUAGUAAUUCAGGUAAACGUGUAGGUUCUAAAGGGUUUAGCUGAGUUACAUUAUUAAAAAUUGUGCGGACACUUGUAUUUAUACUCAUGUUGAAGAUGUACUUGUUAGUAAAAUUUUUUACGGAAGAAAUUUGAAUAAAGUUAUGGAAUGCGUACAAAUCGCCCGGCACCCUCGAAUAAAUAAAUUGAGGUAAGUCGUAACAUAGUAAUGCUAGUAGAAACUGGUGUUAAAUAUAU
rnacentral:ncRNA from 1 species